rnacentral:rRNA from 1 species
UAAGGAAUAUUGGACAAUGGAGGCAACUCUGAUCCAGCCAUGCCGCGUGAAGGAAUAAGGCCCUAUGGGUUGUAAACUUCUUUUAGACGGGACAAAACCCCUUUACGUGUAAAGGGUUGAUGGUACUGUCAGAAUAAGCACCGGCUAACUCCGUGCCAGCAGCCGCGGUAAUACGGAGGGUGCGAGCGUUAUCCGGAUUUACUGGGUUUAAAGGGUGCGUAGGUGGGCUUAUAAGUCAGUGGUGAAAUCUCCGAGCUUAACUUGGAAACUGCCGUUGAUACUAUAGGUCUCGAAUUAUCUGGAGGUAAGCGGAAUAUGUCAUGUAGCGGUGAAAUGCUUAGAUAUGACGUAGAACACCAAUUGCGAAGGCAGCUUACUACAUAUAAAUUGACGCUGAGGCACGAAAGCGUGGGGAUCAAACA